rnacentral:misc_RNA from 1 species
AGAGUAAAACAGUGCGUGAAAUUGUUGAAAGGGAAACGAUUAAAGUCAGUCAUACCGACGAGUAAUCAACUUUUAUGAGUGUGAUUUUGUGGAUCAUGAUGAGCCUAACGGCCUUCUAGUUUACAAAUUUGUGUUCUUGAGGUGUACUUGCUCGUAUGGUAAGUUAACAUCAAUUUCGUUCGUUAUAAAAUGAUUGGGGAAAUGUAGCUUUGAUCUCGUAUUGAAGUGUUAUAGACCCUGUUAGAUGUAAUGAUCGAGAUUGAGGAUUGCAACGGAUGCUCUUCGGGGCUAUUCGUCUGGCCUCUGGGGGUCACCUUGGUGUCGAAAGCUUGCUUACGGCCUUAAGGAUGGUUUUCAAAAGGUUAGAACGGAUUAAAUUCGUUAAGGAUGUUGACGUAAUGGCUUUAAACGA